CUCAUCAUAUUGUGCUGCUUUCCCCUUUUAUUGUAAUAAUUGCUGAACAAGUUCCUGAUCGUGGUAGUGGGACAUUUUUUUGAGGGGGUGCCUUUUUUUGUUUUGAGCACAAAAGGUAUGUGCAUGGAUCAAUGAACUAAGUAGACCAGACCCAGUUGAUAUUACGGUGGUAUCUAUUGGCACCACCCCCUUACGAAGAUCGGAACUGACAAUGGUUUUCAAUGGUAAACGGCCUGAGUAACUUAUCUUCAUUUUAUCCACCAUCUUUGGUAGGAAGAGACCAAUGAAAAUGGCGGCGACAGGGUCUGCCAGAUCCACUAGUGGAUUAGGGCAACAAUGCAAAGCCAGGCCCGCCGAUAUAUUGAAUACUCGGACACAUUCACAGCUGCUGACCCUGGACGAGGCAAGGUGUCCGGUUUGUUCUGAGAUUUUAUUGGGAGCCCGUAACUAUGCCAUGUAGCCACUCGGUGUGUCUGCACUGUUUCAAGCGGACUGUGGAAUUUACCAGUUUGUGCUGUCCCCUCUGCCGGCUGCGAGUAUCCAGCUGGGCCCGUAAACAGUCCCGGGAGAAAAGCCUAGUGAACAUCGAACUUUGGGAAAUUGUUCGAAAGAGUUAUCCACAACGAUGCAAGAGGAGAAUGGAGCAGAGAGACUGUGAGACUUGUGGAGAAGCCUACUGGUUCCUAUGGAAUGACCAUCCAAGGCGCGUACGGAAGAACGCAUAGCCCGGAGUUGAAUAGAGUGUGUUACAAUAGAUUUUCAGCUCGCCUGAUCAGGUAUCCAAAUCUGGAGAGAUCCGACUGGAGUAUGGAAAACAAGUAAAGUUACCAAUGAAUGAAUGAAGAGAAAGAGGGGAGGAGGAAAGUCCUCCACAACAGAAAAGAGGAAUGUGGAACACUCAAGCACUUUCAAGAUCCUGUUAGUUUUAUCUUGUAACAAUCAUAUGAAUAGAUUGUUGAAUAGAUUGCUCCGAAUGGUAUGCCAACACAUUGAUAAAUAAGUGUAAACAUGAUGCUGAGAUAUUACAGCCUUUUCUUCCAGUUCUUUGGGUUGCUGUCAGACUCGGAGAAUGAAGAACCUGUUGGGAAGAGAACCAGAAAUGUGUCUGCAUUUGUUAGAAGAACAAAGACCUCGGCAGACUUCACAAGAGAUGGUCUACAGAUGAAUGUGGUGCAGAGAAGCCAGAGCUGUACUGAUACAGAGGAGGGAAGGUGAAAAAUUAGGGUGUCUACUCAUCUUCCUGGACUGGACAAGGUAUAAAGCCUGGCUUUUUAAAGGAAGAUUUUAUUCCCUAAAAUGGUCAGAUGUUUAUUUCUGAAAAGCUUUAAAAAGGUCCCGAACAGUCAUCCUGAUUCCAUGUAAAAUAGCCUUUUGAGUGACUAAAAUACUGUAUCACUCAUAUUUUUGGGUAAUAGAAAAGCUCAAAAUUGUAGAAAUUAUUUUCUAUCAUGGCUAAGUUCUCUCUCAUGGCUUACUACCAGGAAGUUUGAAAAGAGGCUGAGAGGGCUGGGAGUUUAUAUUCAUGAACUUGUCUUGACUGACAGCUCUUUGAUACGCCUACGUCAAGAAACUUUGAUGCAAACAACGUUGAAAUUGGCAUGUCUUUUCUGAUGUGGUUCGCAGCAGCACAAACCAAUGUGUUGACAUGACAACUGCGUCAGUUUUGAAUGACCCCACCCCUUUGUUCCCUUUGUGCCAGUAACUAGCGAACACCAGACACAGAUGAAAGGGGAGACCUAAGUAUCUUUGCUAUAUAUGAAUGGUGUAAACUUUUAAUAUUUGCUGACACCCUACAGUCAAAUUUUGGCACCAGUAGAGUAGGUACAGUGCCUUCAGAAAGUAUUCACACCACUCAACUUUUUCAACAUUUUGUGUUACAGCCAGAAUUUAAAAUAAAUUAAAUUGAGAUUUUGUG